UUUUUUUUUAAUUAAAGGUUUCACCUAAACAGAGAUAGGAUAAGAUAAUACCUGUGGCAAUGUGUCUCAAAGUAAGGGACAAUCUUUCUGCUGAUGGUAUACUUUUUCUCAAAUGAGUGUCUUGUUUUAUAAUUGAAGGUGCAAUUUUGUGAAGAAGCUCCUCAAAGAACCUCGUAUUUUUUGGGUUUUACAAUACCUGUGAAAUUUGUAUGGAUCUUCUAAACAUAAUUCUACAAAAAGAUUGUGGUGCAUUCCUUGUUCCUGUCUUCUUGCUACCCACGAUUUCAUCCAUGUUGAUCUUUGCUGUUUAUCAACCGAAAGUUCGUUCAUUAUAAUAAAUAAUGACAGUGCGGCAAUUUCUUUUUCUUUUUAUAGUUUGCAGUUUUACAUUUUUUGUCAUAUGUGGCAUUUUUUUUAACUAAUCACUUAUUUUCUUCUAUCAGGCGUCACUAGUAUGAUCAGUCGGCGGAAACGUCAUCAGUCGUCGACAAGUGUGAUCAACCGACGAGUCGGCAGUCGUAGUCGGCAGUCGAGUCGGCAUCUGCAGUCGGUAGUCUGAUACGGGCUUAAGAGUUAGAGAGUAAAGAAAUAUCGUGGAGGAUGGGAGGAAAUUCGAAUGAAAGAAAUAAAAAGAAAUAAAAGUUUCAAUUUGAGAAAGAUAUUUGAUUGAUAUUGAUUGAGGAUAUAUUGAAUUAAAAUCUUUUGAACUUUUAGUUAGGA